rnacentral:rRNA from 1 species
GGGAGCAAACAGGAUUAGAUACCCUGGUAGUCCACGCCGUAAACGAUGUCGACUUGGAGGUUGUGCCCUUGAGGCGUGGCUUCCGGAGCUAACGCGUUAAGUCGACCGCCUGGGGAGUACGGCCGCAAGGUUAAAACUCAAAUGAAUUGACGGGGGCCCGCACAAGCGGUGGAGCAUGUGGUUUAAUUCGAUGCAACGCGAAGAACCUUACCUACUCUUGACAUCCAGAGAACUUUCCAGAGAUGGAUUGGUGCCUUCGGGAACUCUGAGACAGGUGCUGCAUGGCUGUCGUCAGCUCGUGUUGUGAAAUGUUGGGUUAAGUCCCGCAACGAGCGCAACCCUUAUCCUUUGUUGCCAGCGGUUAGGCCGGGAACUCAAAGGAGACUGCCAGUGAUAAACUGGAGGAAGGUGGGGAUGACGUCAAGUCAUCAUGGCCCUUACGAGUAGGGCUACACACGUGCUACAAUGGCGCAUACAAAGAGAAGCGACCUCGCGAGAGCAAGCGGACCUCAUAAAGUGCGUCGUAGUCCGGAUUGGAGUCUGCAACUCGACUCCAUGAAGUCGGAAUCGCUAGUAAUCGUAGAUCAGAAUGCUACGGUGAAUACGUUCCCGGGCCUUGUACACACCGCCCGUCACACCAUGGGAGUGGGUUGCAAAAGAAGUAGGUAGCUUAACCUUCGGGAGGGCGCUUACCACUUUGUGAUUCAUGACUGGGG